AAGCUCGUAGUUGAAUUUCGGGAUCAAUGUUUCGGUCAUGCCGUUGGUAUGUACUGAUAUUAUUGAUUUCUCACCUUCUAAAGAACCGUAAUGCCAUUAAUUUGGUGUCACGGGGAAUUAGGACUGUUACCUUGAAAAAAAUUAGAGUGUUUAAAGCAGGCUCACGCUUGAAUACAUUAGCAUGGAAUAAUGAAAUAGGACAUCCGAUUCUAUUUUGUUGGUUUCUAGGAUCGACGUAAUGAUUAAUAGGGAUAGUUGGG
rnacentral:rRNA from 1 species